rnacentral:rRNA from 1 species
UACGGGGGGAGCAAGCGUUGUUCGGAUUUACUGGGCGUAAAGGGCGCGUAGGCGGCCAGCGCAAGUCAGUUGUGAAAUCUCCGGGCUUAACUCGGAAAGGUCAACUGAUACUGUGCGACUAGAGUGCAGAAGGGGCAACUGGAAUUCUCGGUGUAGCGGUGAAAUGCGUAGAUAUCGAGAGGAACACCUGCGGCGAAGGCGGGUUGCUGGGCUGACACUGACGCUGAGGCGCGAAAGCCAGGGGAGCGAACGGG